ACUACGGUGCUGAAGUAACAAAUGCCCUGCUUCCAGGAAAAGCCUCUAAGCAUCAGGUAACAUCAAAUCGUACCCCAAACCGACACAGGUGGUCAGGUAGAGAAUACCAAGGCGCUUGAGAGAACUCGGGUGAAGGAACUAGGCAAAAUGGUGCCGUAACUUCGGGAGAAGGCACGCUGGUGUGUAGGUGAAGCCCAUGCGGGUGGAGCUGAGACCAGUCGAAGAUACCAGCUGGCUGCAACUGUUUAUUAAAAACACAGCACUGUGCAAACACGAAAGUGGACGUAUACGGUGUGACGCCUGCCCGGUGCCGGAAGGUUAAUUGAUGGGGUUAUCCGUAAGGAGAAGCUCUUGAUCGAAGCCCCGGUAAACGGCGGCCGUAACUAUAACGGUCCUAAGGUAGCGAAAUUCCUUGUCGGGUAAGUUCCGACCUGCACGAAUGGCGUAAUGAUGGCCAGGCUGUCUCCACCCGAGACUCAGUGAAAUUGAACUCGCUGUGAAGAUGCAGUGUACCCGCGGCAAGACGGAAAGACCCCGUGAACCUUUACUAUAGCUUGACACUGAACAUUGAGCCUUGAUGUGUAGGAUAGGUGGGAGGCUUUGAAGCGUGGACGCCAGUCUGCGUGGAGCCAACCUUGAAAUACCACCCUUUAAUGUUUGAUGUUCUAACGUUGGCCCCUUAUCGGGGUUGCGGACAGUGUCUGGUGGGUAGUUUGACUGGGGCGGUCUCCUCCCAAAGCGUAACGGAGGAGCACGAAGGUUAGCUAAUCCUGGUCGGACAUCAGGAGGUUAGUGCAAUGGCAUAAGCUAGCUUGACUGCGAGCGUGACGGCGCGAGCAGGUGCGAAAGCAGGUCAUAGUGAUCCGGUGGUUCUGAAUGGAAGGGCCAUCGCUCAACGGAUAAAAGGUACUCCGGGGAUAACAGGCUGAUACCGCCCAAGAGUUCAUAUCGACGGCGGUGUUUGGCACCUCGAUGUCGGCUCAUCACAUCCUGGGGCUGAAGUAGGUCCCAAGGGUAUGGCUGUUCGCCAUUUAAAGUGGUACGCGAGCUGGGUUUAGAACGUCGUGAGACAGUUCGGUCCCUAUCUGCCGUGGGCGCUGGAGAAUUGAGGGGGGCUGCUCCUAGUACGAGAGGACCGGAGUGGACGCAUCACUGGUGUUCGGGUUGUCAUGCCAAUGGCACUGCCCGGUAGCUAAAUGCGGAAGAGAUAAGUGCUGAAAGCAUCUAAGCACGAAACUUGCCCCGAGAUGAGUUCUCCCUGAGACUUUAAGUCUCCUGAAGGAACGUUGAAGACGACGACGUUGAUAGGCCGGGUGUGUAAGCGCAGCGAUGCGUUGAGCUAACCGGUACUAAUGAACCGUGAGGCUUAACCUUACAACGCCGAAG
rnacentral:rRNA from 1 species